AAACAUCAAGGUUUUCACACUAUAAAUUUAUAAUACUAUUGUAUAUUUCUACUUGCAAGCGAUGAAUAAUAUGGUUGAAACUUGCAAGUAUUUUUAUGUAGUGAUACUUUUUCUUUUCAUUUUUAUCAUGGCAACCGAUGGAGUUUAUUUAUGUGAGGAUGACGAAGAUUGUCAUAUAAUGCCGUGUAUGGUUCCUGAAUAUGCAAAGUGCAUAAGGAUGAUUUGCCAAUGUUGUUAGUAGAAAUUAAGUUGAAAAAUAAUUACAUGGUAAUUCUAAAAGUAUAAUUUCAUUUAAAAUACUAAUUUUGGUAUUUUUGUGAGUUUUGUAACAUUUAAGUCUUUGUUUGUCGAACAUUCAAAGUUAUUUGAUAUUCUCAAAACCACAUUAUUGUAUUAUGCAAGUUUUGUUA